rnacentral:rRNA from 1 species
UGGGGAAUAUUGCACAAUGGGGGAAACCCUGAUGCAGCGACGCCGCGUGAACGAAGAAGGUAUUCGUAUCGUAAAGUUCUGUCCUAUGGGAAGAUAAUGACAGUACCAUAGAAGAAAGCUCCGGCGAAAUACGUGCCAGCAGCCGCGGUAAUACGUAUGGAGCGAGCGUUGUCCGGAAUUAUUGGGCGUAAAGGGUACGCAGGCGGUUUAAUAAGUCGAAUGUUAAAGAUCGGGGCUCAACCCCGUAAAGCAUUGGAAACUGAUAAACUUGAGUAGUGGAGAGGAAAGUGGAAUUCCUAGUGUAGUGGUGAAAUACGUAGAUAUUAGGAGGAAUACCAGUAGCGAAGGCGACUUUCUGGACACAAACUGACGCUGAGGUACGAAAGCGGGGGGAGCAAACAGG